rnacentral:rRNA from 1 species
GACGAACGCUGGCGGCGUGCUUAACACAUGCAAGUCGAGCGGAGCGGUGAACGGGUGAGUAACGCGUGAGUAACUGCCCCCCUCUCUGGGAUAACAGUUGGAAACGGCUGCUAAUACCGGAUAGUGGGGGAUGACUCGCGUCCUAUCAGCUUGUUGGUGGGGUAGUGGCCUACCAAGGCGACGACGGGUAGCCGGCCUGAGAGGGUGACCGGCCACAUUGGGCUGAGAUACGGCCCAGACUCCUACGGGGGGCAGCAGUGGGGGAUAUUGCACAAUGGGCGAAAGCCUGAUGCAGCGACGCCGCGUGAGUGAAGAAGGUUUUCGGAUCGUAAAGCUCUGUUGUUAAGGGAGAAUGGAAAGUUCAUGCUGUGACGGUACUUAACCAGAAAGGGACGGCUAACUACGUGCCAGCAGCCGCGGUAAUUC